rnacentral:lncRNA from 1 species
AUGGAGGUAGGCACGGAGGUGGGCACAGAGGUAAGGAUAGAGGUAGAGAUGGAGGUAGGGAUGGAGGUAGGCAUGGAGGUAGGCACAGAGGUAGGCAUGGAGGUAGGCACGGAGGUGGGCACAGAGGUAAGGAUGGAGGUAGAGAUGGAGGUAGGGAUGGAGGUAGGCAUGGAGGUAGGCACGGAGGUGGGCACAGAGGUAGGGAUGGACGUAGAGAUGGAGGUAGGGAUGGAGGUAAGCAUGGAGGUAGGCACGGAGGUGGGCACAGAGGUAAGGAUGGAGGUAGACACGGAGGCAGGGAUGGAGGUAGAGAUGGAGGUAGGGAUGGAGGUAGGCAUGGUGGUAGGCACGGAGGUGGGCACAGAGGUAGAGAUGGAGGUAGGGACAGAGGUAGAGAUGGAGGUAGGGAUGGAGGUAGGCAUGGAGGUAGGCACGGAGGUGGGCACAGAGGUAAGGAUGGAGGUAGAGACUGAGGUAGGGAUGGAGGUAGAGAUGGAGGUAGGGAUGGAAGUAGGGAUGGAGGUAGGCAUGGAGGUAGGCAUGGAGGUAGGCACGGAGGUGGGCACAGAGGUAAGGAUGGAGGUAGAGACGGAGGUAGGGAUGGAGGUAGAGAUGGAGGUAGGGAUGGAGGUAGGCAUGGUGGUAGGCACGGAGGUGGGCACAGAGGUAGGGAUGGAGGUAGGCACAGGGGUCGGGAUGGAGGUAGGCAUGGAGGUGGGCACAGAGGUAGAGAUGGAGGUAGGGACAGAGGUAGGGCGAGGGAUCAUGGCUAGUCUGAGCCAAGAACCACUUCAAGGGAAGACUCUUCAAAAUUGUUAUUUAUAUAUUUGGGAGAGAGAGAGAGAGAGAGCUCGCAGAGGAGAGGCAGAGGGAGAAGCAGGCUCCCUGCUGCUUGGGGAGCCCGAUGCGGGACUUGAUCCCGGGAUCCCUGGAUCACAACCAAGCCGAAGGCAGAUGCUCAACCACCGAGCCGCCCAGACGUCCCCUCCAUUUAUACAUUUUUAUAAACUAAAUGCGGGGAGUAAGACAAAGAAAGAGUCAGGGAGACAGACCGAAAGAACGAGAGACACGGAGAGAGGUUGGGAUCCGAGAGCGUGCGCAGCCAAGGCAGGUGACCAUUCCUAA